AAACCAGGCCUGGGCCUGCCUGGCCCAAGCCUAGUAGUUAAAAUUCAACCCCUGACCUAGCCACUGAUGUUAUCUAUAGAUUCCAGACAUUGUAUGGAAGGACAUUGUGAAACUUCCUGCUCUGUUCUGCUUCACUUUGACUACUGGUGCAUGCAGCUCCUGUCAGUACCCCCUAGCUUGCUCAAUCAGUCAGGACCCUCUCGUGUGAAACCUUUAGCAUUGUGAGCUCUUAAAAGGGACAGAAAUUGUGCACUCAGGGAGCUCGGAUUUUAAGACGCUAGUCUGCCAACGCUUCCAGCUGAAUAAAGCCCCUUCCUUCUACAACUUGGUGUCUGAGGGGUUUUGUCUGUGGCUUGUCCUGCUACAUUUCUUGGUUCCCUGACUGGGAAAUGAGGUGAUUAACUGACAGACGGUCGAGGCAGCCCCUUAGGUGGCUUACCCUUCCCUGUGGAGCAUCCCUGCGGGGGACUCUGGCCAGCUUGAGCGAUGCGGAUCCUGAAAGGGCUCCUGGGUAGGCCUUUUCCCCGGUGGAACACAUCAUCAGAGCGGUGCAUGGCAGGUCCCCACAGAGGAUCAACGUAGUGGCUGAACACCAGGAAGGAGCUGGCACUUGGAGUUCGGACAUCUGAAACUCGUAGACAAGAAAUGCACCAUAUCCCCCUGCCUGGAUGGGUGUUUUUGGAGAAGAACAAGCAUAUAGACUAAAAUCCUCUGUUUGGAAACCAGCCCAAUUCAAGGAGGGUUCUGAUGCACUGCGGUGAAUUUUUGGCAAUGAGCGGGUCAGCAGCUUAAUAGAGUCUGAUGACUUCUGGUGCCAUACACAAAAAAGAUCCAGACAACUGUUCAAACUGAUGGGACCCACUCCAUCAAGAUUUCACUGUGGCUAGACCAAAAUCACCUAUUUCCACUGUGAGGUCUUCAUGAAGAACUAUAUUAUUACUCUUGAGGUCUCUGUGGAUGAUUGACUUGGCGUGUCAGUAAUCCAUGCCCUGUGCAGUCUGUUGUGCAAUAUCUAUAAGUUUGAUCAUCUCAGAUUUGGUCUCAAUUAUAUGGAGAUGGUAAUACAAGCUGGAGCCCUAACACCACUGGGUGACAAUAGCCAGUUGUGGCUUUGUGGAAUAGCCCAUGAAGAGUAGGAUAUUCAUGUGUUAUGUUUUCCUGAGUACUCCUCCUUCAUUUUGAAGGCUUCUAACUGCUGAGGUGUAGGUGCUGCCACAUUCAACAUUUUCACUGCCACAACACCAUGCCACUUUCCCUUGUAGACUGUUCCAAAUGAUCCAGAUCCAAUUCUUUGUCCCACUGUAAUCUGCCCAUCAGGAAUCUCCCAAUCAUCAUUCAAGUCCUGUCUACCAAGUGUUUUCAUUUGAUUCCUGUCUUCUGAGGAUGAAGAUGACUUCCUUUCUCGCUGAAGUCCUGGAGAUUUCUGUAAGACUUUCACGUUAGUGAGUGACCCAGGCAGGGGGUGUGGCAGACAAACCUGUGGUUGAGCCUCCAACACCACGAAAUCCUUGGUCUCUGAUCAAGUCAUCAAUAUCGUCAGGUUCUAUUGUGCUUAUACACACAUUGGGAGCUGAUGAGGACCGGUCUCGCCCAAAUUGAUUUCAGUGAUCUUCAUCUGCUGGUCGGAAGGGCUGUGGAAUUGGAGUGGAUUUUGAAGGAGACAGAUUGGUGAGAAUUUGGGGACCAGUAGAGUCUGAGGGGGGUGCCGAAGGAGAUGAUCCAGAUGUAAGGGCAGUCUCUGCUAAGGAGGCCUCUUCCUGGGGUAUUGAGUGGCGUUCAAAGAACUUGGAGAAAAACAACAAAUCAAGAUGGUCAUAAUUAACAAACAUCAGUGGAACAACUGUACUACAACACUGGUGAAAUUUAUAACCACAUGUUUGACAGCGGAAACCCUGGAAAAGCAGCUUUUGACAAAAGUCACAAAAUGCUAAGGUGAAAAAUGUUUUUCGUACAAAGUUGUGUGUUGUAAGUGGAACAUUCUCCAACACUUCCACAUGCAAUUCUUCUCCAGUAAGCCAGGAAACACCAGUGUCCUGGUCAAUUGUUUUCUUCUCUCCAUCCUGAAUUCUGUAAACAGCACCGCACUCUGGGAUUAGACCUCUCAUCAUCAGUGCUUUCAUUAGACUGUCUCCGACUGUAACUCCACACCUUGCAGGUACCACUGUCCUCUGCUUGUUGGGCAGGAAGACUCUAACAAUAGGUUUUUGUGGUGACUUGGGGUUGCUCCAUGUCACAUCUAUGGGAUUUUGAAAAACUGAAAGAGAUAAAGGUUUUUUGAAAAACUGAAAGAGAAAAACUGAAAGGCUAAAAGAGGAAGAAGACUUAACGGUGUCCAUUGAUGCAGAGCUAGAAACAGAAAAAUCAGUUCCGUUCCCCAGACAUUCCAAUAACUGUUGUUGUCUUUGUUGGAGUGUAUCUAGCUUGCUGGUGUAUUCCUCAUAGGCCUCCAGAUAUAUUGAUGGUGGAAUAUACUCCCCAAAAAAUUUGUAUAAUAGGGCCUCUAUAUGUUCCUGUGUCAACUUAAUUGAUUAUUUGUUUGAUAUUCCAUACUUUGUGGUAUUUUUCCUACUGGUUCUUUCUUUUCUUAACUUCUUUGGGAUUAAUUUUUAUUAAUCAUUUGUUCUCUUCUGUUGGUUUAAAAGUUAAAAGUCUGGUUUCUACAUUUUUAGAAGAUAACCUCCACGGGAAUGGCAGGAUCCACAGCCGAAGAGGCCGCAGCGCCAGCGCCGGCCUCAGGCUCCACGUCCCCAUUGAAUAGAGCCUCACCGGGCUCCGCACUGCCACCACCGCCACUGCUCAGUGCCGCCAUCUUAUCAUAUGUUUUCAUUUAUCUGGGAUAAAUGCCCCCAAAUUC